CGUUAAUUUCUUCUCUGUCUUCUAGGUCUGCCGUGAUCUUUGGCGUGAAACGUGCUUCCAGGUGCUGCGCAAAGGCCUCAGCUUUUUCCUCCGUAGUUUUGCACCAAGGUUCAGCAGGAGCUUGCUGCCCUUCCGCAACGUGCCUUCUGACUGGCAGAUUUGGGAUGGGCUGUCUCUUGAUUGUGUUGCUUGAUCCGUUUACGUAUUCUGUUAGUCAGCUGAUUGAUAGUGCGUGCAAUGAGGGGGUUGGAGCACCUAUCUUUUUGGUUGAUUUUGCAGAGAAUUCUUUUGAUCUUGAUCGCUUUCAGCGUUUGCGAGUCAAGAUGGAAGCUUUGCGGUCCGUACACUGUGUGCUGGUUACUUGAGGUUUGCGAAGCCAAUUCAGCUGCAAUGUAAAUGUUCUUUUCAAGGAUAGCCACUGCAUCAUCUAUGUCGUCGCCGUUGUGAAGUUCAGUCUCCAGAUGGAUUCGCUGUUCUAGGUCUCAGGAGGAGUCUAAUAAUUUGCAUGUUGUGAUCUGAACCUAAGUCAUAUGAUGUUUCGAUGUGGAUUAAAUUGUGUCUAAUACCCUUAUAAA